GAAAAAAAAAUACUUUUCUAUAAUGCUAAAUCCAAAGCUAGGAUACAGCUAGUGUUUGCUCUAUAUUAAAUAUACUGUAUGUUUUUUAAAAAGACAAAAAUCUUACACAACGUAAAUCCCAAAUUGAUGUAGAAACUUCAUCCUUUUAGGCUAGUUUUCAUAUACCGAAUGGGCUGUGCCAGCUGAUAUAGAGAACACAAUGGUCUUAUCCUGUUCAGGACACUGCACCCAACAAUUCUAACCUGCCAUGAAAGAUACACCUACUGGUCCAAGAGCAGCUUUCUGAUUGGAUUUGACACUUGCUCUACAGGAGGGAAUUCAUAGCAGAUAUUCUAAUCCUAGUGGAAAAUCCAUGCUUGUAGGAGCCGUACACUCUAUGGCACAACCUGUUACUGCUACUUUGCUAAAUGAUCAUGCUGUGAAAUUGACUUCUAAAUAUUUGUGUUUAUCCCAUAAAACUGGAGACGCUCUCAGUUUUAGAAGAGCUGCUUCUUUUUUGUUUUUCCCAGUGAACAGUGAACAAUGGGAAGGUUUGUAUCCUGUCAAAGUGCUGAGAGAGGAGACUGUGCACUCAGUCCUAAACAGAACAUCUAUAGUAAACCCACUGUCUUAAUCAAGGUGCUUCUCAGCCAUUCGUUAUUCCUCGGGUGAGAAUUCUUUGUUGAGCUCUGAGCCCCAUUUUUAAUGGGGUUAUUUGAUUUGGUACAGCAACAGACAAGUAGACCAAUGGAAUAGAACUGAAGACCCAGAAAUGAACCCACACACCUACGGUCACUUGAUCUUCGACAAGGGAGCUAAAACCAUCCAG
rnacentral:lncRNA from 1 species